rnacentral:lncRNA from 1 species
CAAUAAUAAGCUUACCAGUUCAUUACAAGUACAUAGAAUGGUUGCUACAAUCAUCAUAAACUAACAUCCCAAUGUCCCUAGUGUCUACCCACCUACACUCAUGUCAUGUCAGAUUUUCUUAUCUCAUAAUUUAUCCAAUUAUGCUCUGAUACCAUAAAAGUUGUCACGCCCCCGGCCCGAGAUCGCGAGCCGGGGGUCCGCGCCAACCGCCGCACACCCGUAGAAAACUCUCCCCACGAGCAUGCAAGGCAUCUUAACCAAACAUCUCAAUUAUAUAUAUAUAUAUAUCUAAAAU